AUGGCAGAGGAGGACUUAAUCCUUAUUCGGGCUCCAAACAAACUACAUGCUACCUCAUGCCAGUGGGCUUUGGAGAGUCAUACAGACCUGUGCCUGAAGGGAGCUGAGAAUUACCAAGUCCAGUUCGGUGUCUUCCUACUUACCAGUGUAAGGGCAGCUCUCAGGCUAAGGACAAAGCUUUUGUAUGUUCUAAAGAAGUCAAGGCUUUCUGAAAAUGAGGUGAAUUUGGUAGAAAAGAAAGAACACCAGAUUUGGAGACAGAGGACUGGGAUUCAAAUUCUGAAUCUGUUACUACUACAUGCUACUAAAAGCCAUUUAAGCUCUGGCAAUAGUACUAUUGGAUAGUCACAUUUUUUUUUUUGAUCAACCCCAUACCAUUGAUGUCUCCCAUUGUGAUAUGUUUUUCAUGUAUGUCACACACAUUACAUAUGUAAUUUUUCUAGUUAUUAGGCCUACAUUUUUUUUUUACUACAUUACGCUACUGAAGAUUUCUUGCAUAGUGAUCUUGAUAUUCAGUAUUUUGAUUUGUGUUUUCCAAAGGAAACUUUUAGGGCCCAAAUCAAAUUUUACUUUUUGACUAUAUUAAAAUCAUUUAAUUUUAGCCACAAGUGUUUAAUGCUGUGCUAACCAAAAUCAUACUUGUGAAAUGAAUUGUAUAUUUUUAAUGUACUAAAAGGUUUAAACAAAAUAAAACUAAUUUUAAAAAGAAAAAAC
rnacentral:lncRNA from 1 species